CUGAUAAUAUUUUGUUAUGCCUUACUUCGGUCGCACAGUUUCAAAGCCAUGCCAUAAUUACAGAUGUAUUACAAUGCUAUAACAUGUUCAUUAUCUAAUUGAAUUAAGACAAUAUACUUCAUUUUGCCAGAACUUUUCGUUUAUAUGUGUACCCAUCUAAUAAGUUGCCACCUUAAAGUACAACUCGAAAAUUGCAUCAGAUUCGAGGGGAUCUCAAGUAACAC
rnacentral:lncRNA from 1 species